CCUACGGGGGGCAGCAGUGAGGAAUAUUGGUCAAUGGGCGUAAGCCUGAACCAGCCAAGUCGCGUGAGGGAUGAAGGUUCUAUGGAUCGUAAACUUCUUUUAUAAGGGAAUAAAGUGUGGGACGUGUCCUAUUUUGUAUGUCCCUUAUGAAUAAGGAUCGGCUAACUCCGUGCCAGCAGCCGCGGUCAUACGGCGGAUCCGAGCGUUAUCCGGAUUUAUUGGGUUUAAGGGGUGCGUAGGCGGCCUGUUAAGUCAGUGGUGAAAGUCUGUGGCUCAACCAUGGAAUUGCCGUUGAAACUGGGGGGCUUGAGUAUGUUUGAGGCAGGCGGAAUGCGUGGGGUAGCGGUGAAAUGCUUAGAUAUCACGAAGAACCCCGAUUGCGAAGGCAGCCUGCCAAGCCAUGACUGACGCUGAUGCACGAAAGCGUGGGGAUCAAACAGGAUUAGAUACCCCUGUAGUC
rnacentral:rRNA from 1 species